AUUGAACGCUGGCGGCAGGCUUAACACAUGCAAGUCGAGCGGGGGAGGUUGCUUCGGUAACUGACCUAGCGGCGGACGGGUGAGUAAUGCUUAGGAAUCUGCCUAUUAGGGGGGGACAACAUUCCGAAAGGAAUGCUAAUACCGCAUACGCCCUACGGGGGAAAGCAGGGGAUCUUCGGACCUUGCGCGAAUAGAUGAGCCUAAGUCGGAUUAGCUAGUUGGUGGGGUAAAGGCCUACCAAGGCGACGAUCUGGAGCGGGUCUGAGAGGAUGAUCCGCCACACUGGGACUGAGACACGGCCCAGACUCCUACGGGAGGCAGCAGUGGGGAAUAUUGGACAAUGGGGGGAACCCUGAUCCAGCCAUGCCGCGUGUGUGAAGAAGGCCUUUUGGUUGUAAAGCACUUUAAGCGAGGAGGAGGCUACCGAGACUAAUACUCUUGGAUAGUGGACGUUACUCGCAGAAUAAGCACCGGCUAACUCUGUGCCAGCCGCCGCCGUAAAAC
rnacentral:rRNA from 1 species